CUACGGGACGCUGCAGUGGGGAAUAUUGCACAAUGGGCGCAAGCCUGAUGCAGCCAUGCCGCGUGUAUGAAGAAGGCCUUCGGGUUGUAAAGUACUUUCAGCGGGGAGGAAGGGAGUAAAGUUAAUACCUUUGCUCAUUGACGUUACCCGCAGAAGAAGCACCGGCUAACUCCGUGCCAGCAGCCGCGGUAAUACGGAGGGUGCAAGCGUUAAUCGGAAUUACUGGGCGUAAAGCGCACGCAGGCGGUGUGUUAAGUCAGAUGUGAAAUCCCCGGGCUCAACCUGGGAACUGCAUCUGAUACUGGCAAGCUUGAGUCCCGUAGAGGGGGGUAGAAUUCCAGGUGUAGCGGUGAAAUGCGUAGAGAUCUGGAGGAAUACCGGUGGCGAAGGCGGCCCCCUGGACGAAGACUGACGCUCAGGUGCGAAAGCGUGGGGAGCAAACAGGAUUAGAUACCCUCGUAGUC
rnacentral:rRNA from 1 species